GAUUCUAUAGUCAAUUUAUGAUAUAAGAUUGCAAAUCUUAAGGUGUUUAAUACUGGAAUUU
rnacentral:tRNA from 1 species